AUGAAGUUCAUAUCGAAUACCGGAAAACUCUAAGGCAGGAAAGUAUCCUUGAUGAUUUUAUUAACGCAGAAAUCGUGAACGGAAACGGUACAAUUGUUCGGAAUAGUUCAGCUGAUGUUGAAAAACAACCUUUCUUGGAAAUAAAUCACAAAUCUGCAGAACAAGUGAAAAAUGUAUUUAUUUACAUUGGGGACGAUGAGGACAAGAUAGCGGAGUCUUAUGAACCUCUUAUUUAUGAGAAUAGAUACGAUAAGUGUCAGUU